GAACACGUGAAGAAUCUGCCUUCAACUCUGGGAUAACUCCGGGAAACCGGGGCUAAUACCGGAUAUGAGCCUUGAUCGCAUGAUCGGGGCUGGAAAGUUUUUCGGUUGAAGAUGACUUCGCGGCCUAUCAGCUUGUUGGUGAGGUAAUGGCUCACCAAGGCGACGACGGGUAGCCGGCCUGAGAGGGCGACCGGCCACACUGGGACUGAGACACGGCCCAGACUCCUACGGGAGGCAGCAGUGGGGAAUAUUGGGCAAUGGAGGAAACUCUGACCCAGCGACGCCGCGUGAGGGAUGAAGGCCUUCGGGUUGUAAACCUCUUUCAGUAGGGAAGAAGCGAAAGUGACGGUACCUACAGAAGAAGCACCGGCUAACUAUGUGCCAGCAGCCGCGGUAAUACAUAGGGUGCAAGCGUUGUCCGGAAUUAUUGGGCGUAAAGAGCUCGUAGGUGGUUCGAUACGUCGGAUGUGAAAAUCAGGGGCUCAACCCCUGACCUGCAUCCGAUACGGUCGAGCUAGAGUUUGGUAGGGGAGACUGGAAUUCCUGGUGUAGCGGUGGAAUGCGCAGAUAUCAGGAGGAACACCGAUGGCGAAGGCAGGUCUCUGGGCCAAUACUGACACUGAGGAGCGAAAGCGUGGGGAGCGAACAGGAUUAGAUACCCUGGUAGUCCACGCCGUAAACGGUGGGCGCUAGUUGUGCGAACCUUCCACGGUUUGUGCGACGCAGCUAACGCAUUAAGCGCCCCGCCUGGGGAGUACGAUCGCAAGAUUAAAACUCAAAGGAAUUGACGGGGCCCCGCACAAGCAGCGGAGCAUGCGGCUUAAUUCGACGCAACGCGAAGAACUUACCAAGGCUU
rnacentral:rRNA from 1 species